UCGUGGAGCGAUUUGUCUGAUUAAUUUCGAUAACGAACGAGACUCCGGCUUACUAAAUAGUCUAAAGUUCGAAGGGACUUUUAUUCAAGACUUCUUAGCAGGAUAAAUGGCGCUCUUAAGCCAUACGAAAUGGAGCAAUAACA
rnacentral:rRNA from 1 species